rnacentral:rRNA from 1 species
UACGUAGGGUGCAAGCGUUAAUCGGAAUUACUGGGCGUAAAGCGUGCGCAGGCGGUUUUGUAAGACAGGUGUGAAAUCCCUGGGCUUAACCUGGGAACUGCAUUUGUGACUGCAAAGCUGGAGUGCGGCAGAGGGGGAUGGAAUUCCGCGUGUAGCAGUGAAAUGCGUAGAUAUGCGGAGGAACACCGAUGGCGAAGGCAAUCCCCUGGGCCUGCACUGACGCUCAUGCACGAAAGCGUGGGGAGCAAACAGG